AUCAAUCUUGUUCUGGUCAGUCAAAACUCCCUCUUUCUCGAAUAAAUCAUGUAACAAGAAGUUUACACGAAAACCAUGUCGACAGCAGUUCUCCAUCUAUGCUUCUACAUCAUUUUCUUUUAAAAAACAUAUGCUUCUACAUAGGACAAAAAUAUAGAUGGUCAACUCGAGUUUCAACUGAGAAAUGUGGUCCAGCAGUUGAUGAUAGACAUCAGGUAUUUGUAAUCUUGUGUGUAGUUUUGGGCCGCUGACCAGAUCUUAUCUGGUUCUUCAGCAACAACCUGUCAUGGGUCAUGACCUCAUGGGCAUGAACAAACUGUCAGACUAGAUAUCUCCAUCUCAGGGGCCGCUCUACAUGUUUCAUUUCAAUAGGAUGCAAUCAUCAAUAACUCAUAAUUAUUAGUGUGCACAGUACCUCACAACACAAAUAGAAUUGGACCUAAUUCGUGCAUGCCUAUUGUCUUUGCCACUAAAACAGGUGAGUAUGGGAGCAUACUAUGAUGUCUCCAAGCAUACCCAAGACAAGAGACCUGCUAAUAUCGUCCCCAACAAGUGGCAAACAGAUGGCCCCAGAGAAAUCUAAUCAAGAUCACACUGCCUGCCCUUGCACUUACGGCAUUAAUAUUGCAUGUUUUGAGCUCAUGGCUCUGUCCCUUGCCAACCUGUCAGGAUAGCUGCACCUAAACUGCAUUGUUCUCUUCUCUUCCUUCCCCCUCAUCUGUAUAAAUUCAUCAGCUUAGCACCACCAUCACCUCAUCAGUUCAUCCAGAAAGCGCAAGCUAAAGCGGCACCACUACACCUAGUCAAGAACGGAGGAGGAGCAAAACAAAACAUGGUUAGUGCCAAGAGACUUUCUCAGAUGGCAAAGAAGUGGCAGAAAAUAGCGGGAAUUGGGAGGAAGAGGCUCACCCGGACCACGACAGCGGCGAAAGAAGCAGCCAAUGACGAGUGCUGCACCACAUCGUUGUCAGUGGUGAUGAAGGGUCACUGUGUGGUGUACACGGCAGACAGGGCGUGGUUCAAGGUGCCGCCUUGGUAUGUUAUAGGAAUUGCAGGCGUGGAAUAAGUUGUAAAUUACCUGCAGCUCAGGGGUGAGCGCCUUGAAAUGUACAGUGUUGAUGCUCCAAAUUCCAUCGUGAUCCAUAGAAACCUAAACGAUCCAUUGAAAUGUAGUACGAAGAUAGUGGCAGCGAGUGCUCUCCUGUAGUCACAUCACAUCAAAGCCCAAUUAGUGACUCGGAAUUUGUGGUAACCGUUGGUCCAACAAAGACACUGCGUACCUUCCUCCGUUCUUCCACACCAGCAGACUAAUCUUUCAAACAGUAAAACUGAUUGCUACCUACAGUAGUCUAGGCCCCAGCCUUCUUGACUGUUGAUUUUUUCCAAUGACAACAAUUAAGGGAAGCACGGUGGAAAUUUCCUCCCCUGCUCGUGUUGCAAAGGUUGCCUCAGCUUGACGCCCACACACACACACACACCAGGCAGAACAGAACAAUACAAUGGCCACAACUACGCGACCCUCCUCACACAGCUGCCUCUUCCUCAUCCUAGCUGCAGCCUCCACCAUAGUCACCGUGCUCUCUGCCCAUGCGAGUGAUAUACCCAACGGAGGGUGCAUCGCCGCCGAGAGGGCCGCGCUGCUCUCCUUCAAAGCCGGCGUCACUAGCGACCCAGCUAAUCGCAUCGUCUCAUGGCACGGCCAUGACUGCUGCCACUGGAGCGGUGUAAGGUGCAACAACUGGACUGGCCACGUCAUCAAGCUGGACCUGCGCAAUGAUUUCUCCGCGAAGGAUUUCAUUGGUUUUCCCAAAGCUCGUUCUCGUUCGAUGCGGGGACAGGUAUCUUCUUCAUUGCUUGCUCUCCAACACCUCAAGCAUCUAGAUCUUAGCGGGAACUUUCUCGGAGGUGAAUGGAUGCCUAUACCAGAUUUCAUGGGUUCUCUCGAGAGAUUGGUAUACCUCAACCUCUCCAACAUGAAUUUCUGUGGCAGAGUGCCUCCUCAGCUAGGCAACCUCUCCAAACUGGUACACCUUGACAUAAGCCAUAAUUCUUGUCUGUACAGCCUACACUCCAUGGAUAUAUCUUGGUUAGCACGUCUCUACUCACUGGAGCAUCUUGAUAUGGGCUCUGUGGACCUUAAAGCAGCGACUGACUGGGUUCAUUCGCUGAACGCUCUUCCCAGUUUGGUUGUACUGAAUCUCGAUUGGUGUAACCUUCAAAAUAACACUCCGUCACUUGUACACUACAACCUUACAGUUCUUGAGGAACUUGACCUUUCCUAUAACUCUUUAGAUAGCCUUGCUGCAUCAAACUGGUUUUGGGGUGUAACUAGCCUCAAAAGGCUAAUCCUAUUAGAAUGUGGAUUAUCAGGUUCAUUUCCUAAUGUGUUGCGAAACUUGACCUUGUUAGAGACCCUUGACCUGGGAUUUAAUAAUAUCAACCGGAUGAUACCGGUAACAAUGGAAAAUAUGUGUAAAUUGAAGUCUCUAGGCCUCAGCUACAAUAACAUCGGUGGGGACAUAUCAGACUUAAUGGAGAGGUUUCCGAAUUGUUCUUUGAAGAUUUUGCAAGAGUUUUAUUUGUCGGAGGCAAACGUCACCGGCACGACAUUAAAUUCUUUGCUAAACCUAACCAGCAUAAGAACAAUUCAUGCCGGUGAUAACCACUUGAGCAGUCCCUUGCCUGUGGAGAUUGCCACACUGACAAAUUUGACAGAAUUGUUGCUUGGUGGCAACAACUUGAGUGGUGUGAUAUCAGAAGAUCAUUUCGCUGGUCUUACAAACUUGAAGAUACUUGACUUGUCUUGCCCUAAUUUGAAGGUCGCCAUGGACUCGGGCUGGAAAACACCAUUCAGGUUGGAUAUUGCAUGGUUUGGAUCUUGUCAGUUGGGUCCCGGAUUUCCUCAAUGGCUUCGAGGGCAAAAUGGCAUUUCAGACCUUGACAUUUCAAACACGGGUCUAAUUACUAGGAUUCCACAUUGGUUUUGGACAACCUUUUGUGGCGCGGAACAUUUGGACAUGUCCUCAAACCAACUUAGCGGCAACUUACCCAUCAACUUGGAGUUCAUGUCAGUGAUAACACUUUAUCUGCACUCAAAUUGUCUAACUGGUUUGGUACCGAAAUUGCCAAGAACAAUUGAAGUAUUGGACAUCUCUAGAAACUCCUUAAAUGGGUUCGUGUCGUCAAAUUUGGAAGCUCCACAUUUACAGGUUGCGGUUGUCUUUUCAAAUUCUAUGACCGGCACUAUUCCAACCUCGAUUUGUCAAUGGCCACAACUGCGGAUCUUAGAUCUUUCAAACAAUCAGCUUGUAGGGGAACUUCCUGAUUGUGGCAGAAAGGAGCUAAAGCAAUGUAAAGCAUCUAGCAAGAACUCUUCAAAUGUCAGUUCCACAUGUUCAUCUAGUUUGCGAAUAACUAUCCUCCUUGUAAGCAACAACAGUCUUUCAGGUGGAUUUCCUUUAUUCCUGAGGAAAUGCCGAGGUUUGCGUUUCCUCGAUCUAAGUCGAAACAAAUUCAGUGGAAACCUACCUACACGGAUUGGUGAAGACAUGCCUUUGUUGGUAAUGCUACGGUUAAGAUCAAACAACUUUUCUGGUCACAUUCCAUAUCAGAUAACGGAACUUCCUGCUCUUCGUAUUUUAGAUCUAUCUAACAACAACUUUUCUGGUGUAAUACCACAAUCUCUGGAUGACCUCAAAGCUUUGAGUGGCACUGCUAAGGCCUUAGAUCCAGAUUGGGACAGUCCUUUCGAUGAAAUAUCUGAAAACGAGGGUGUGUCCACUCUUGAGAGACAGUCCGAUGAUAGCUUAUCAGUGGUAAUAAAAGGGCAAGUGCUUGACUACAAGGAGAAUACCGUAUAUCUGAUGAGCAUUGAUUUAUCAUGCAACAGUUUAACUGGAGAAAUUCCAGAGGAACUAAGCUCUCUUAUUGGUCUCAUAAAUCUGAAUUUAUCAUCAAACUUGUUGAGUGGAAUUAUCCCCGAUAAGAUUGGUGAUCUUCAAUCACUCGAGUCUCUUGACCUUUCGAAGAAUAAGCUUGCUGGUGAAAUUCCUUGGGGCUUAUCAGAUUUGACAUAUUUGAGCUAUCUAAAUUUGUCAUAUAAUAAUCUCUCAGGAAGAGUGCCCACGGGGCAUCAACUUGACAUCCUCAAUGCAGAUGAUCCAACUCUUUGUGGAUAUCCGACUCCAAGGCAAUGUCCUGGCCCUCCUGAAGACGAACCAACCCACGGAGAUUCUGUAAGAUGGCACAAAGGGGGUCUAUCUCCAACGGAUUUACUUCUUGGGUUAAUUGUGGGAUUUGUGGCAGGCGUUUGGAUGGUAUUUUGUGGACUUCUGUUCAUGAAGAGAUGGAGACAUGCUUAUUUCGUGCUGUUUGACGAGCUAUAUGACAAGGUGUAUGUCAACUUUGUUGUUACUUGGGGAAAAUGGUUCAGAAACACGGGUGGAGAAUAAGCUAGAACCGGAAAGGAUGUUGUGCCAUACAAAGAUAUUGUUACCCGGAUAUGGGGGUGAAGGACUUGGUGCUAUAUUUAUGUACUAUCUGCUAUCACUUUGUUAUUUAGAAUAGUAAAGUAUAAAGUUAAUGUAUCUCGUUGUUCCAUACCCAUAGUGGAAUGCUGCUUUUCAUAUUUUUAGUUACAGAAUUAUUUAGAUUUCUUAUGUGAAACAGUAAAUGCAUGAGGUUACGCCUAAGUAGAUGUUUGGAUCAUGAGAUAUAUGAAUCAAUUUGUGAACAUGUUUUUAUUACUUUCACUAAAGUAGAUUCUGUUCGCACGCGAACACGUCACAUGUACCCUCGACGCCGGGGGUGAUGCACCUCAGCUCACGUCGAAGGAGAUCUGACCGGCAGCACGAUACGCAGGACAGCCGGAUACCUCGGAUUUCAACACCUCAAAAUUUUGUGACCUUGGAUCUUAUAUGACCUUAGAUUGCAUACGUCCUAGAAUUGCAUAGGACCUCGGAUUGCAAGGGACCUCAGAUUGCCCGAUGGAAAUUUUCAACCUGAUCUUCGCAUAUGACAUUGGAUUGAGAUGAUUUACAUAUCAAAAUCAAUCGGCUCGACGAGACGAAGGCAUUUCAUGCAGAAAACUCUUUCAGCCAAGGUCAUCUUGAAGGGAUAAUCAGCCGAACAGUACUCCAAAACCCUGAAUCUCAAUACUCCGAGCUCAGCUUCGGCCCCUAAGAUAUGGUCGGAUGACAAUGACCUAAACAUAAAAGUCGUUCACUUCAACAACACGGAACUUUUUCAUGUUGAAAAAUCUUUCAUUCGAGGCCAUCUUAAUUAUGUUUACUGUUGUGACAAAAACUGGCGUCAACAGGUUCUAAAGUUUCCAAUUUGGUUAUAUCAUAAAUUAGUGAAUGUUUUUUGGAUAAACAAGACUAGGUGUGUGUAUGUGUUGUAGCCAUUCUUGCCUUCUACAAUCCAUUUUGUUUCCUUCGUUACUCCCCGUAUGUGUAUGUGUUAUAGACAUCCCUGCCUUCUCCAAUCCAUUUGGUUCCCUUCGUUAGUUCCCCGUCUAGUUCAUAGCUAACGAACACAUAGUAAAAAAGUUCUUAUGGCUGAAGGAUUGUGCUUUUGUGUUCUGCAUCACAUUGUCAAGAUAAUGUUUGUUGUGUUAGGAUUUUGUACCUCCCAAUCUCAUGUUAGUCAUGUGGUUAGAGCUAUAUGAGUAAUUACAAAGGUAUGUGAGUUAUGUCUUCGGUGAAUUUCCUCAGAAGCAUGUAAGGUGUUUGAUGAACCGGCCCAAAAUAUCUUUACUUCAGAAAGUAAAGCACAUCCUAGCACGGAGCUGUGCGUGCGAUGGCUAACUCAUCACGCACGAGUCAGAAAAGUAAAACCGAUGUCUUGCACAGGUUCACCAGACCUACGUUGUGCGAUGAAGGGAACCAUCGCACACAAUUUGAUUUACUAAAUCAUGCACGGUUUAACAAAACAAUUAAGAGAUACACCGAAUAACCAUGAAAACCAUAAUGCGUACCUAGAGGAGACCAAGGGAGAGGAUUAGUUAUAUAUUGUACCUAUGGCUGUGGAGUUUGGACCGAAUUGCUUAGGGGUUCACCCUAUCAAAUUAACACAUGAACCACCACCCCAAGCAAUUGAACCACCAAUUCUAUCAUUUUUGCCUCAAAAAGAUAAUAAAAACCAAUUAUAUCAUUUGCUUGCCCCUUGCGUAGCUAGGCUUCUCUCGGUGUCCACCUUCUUGGGCCUUAGCAAUCAAUUUGCUUAGUUCCCCUACAAAGUGGGGAAUCUUCACUGCCUCAAAAAUACAAAAGCAAUGAGAUAUGUUUUAUGUGACAUGGGAGGAGUCCGUUAAGAGAGACCUGAAGGAUUGAAGUAUCACCAAAGAACUAGCUAUGGACAGGGGUGCAUGGAAGCUUGAUAUCCAUGUGCCAGAGCCAUGAGUUGAUCGCGAGAUUUUAUGGGUUUCACCUCUAGCCUACCCCAACUUAUUUAGGACUAAAGGCUUUGUUGUUGUUGUUGUUGUUGUUGUUGUUGUAAUGAGAUAUGUUUUACGAAUAGAUAAGUAACAAUUUGGACGAAUGUACUUCUAUAUGUCAUUUGACCAGUAGGAUCAAGGGCACUGCAGUAAUGUUACAACUGAGAUUGCUAACUGACGGGCGCUGGAGACGCACGGGUACCCGUGACAGCAACCUCCGUGUAUGCACCCAAACCAAAAUCCAUAAAAGAAACUGCAUACCAGUUCACAUUGCCCAUGCCCAAGAGAAAUGGGGUAUGGUCCGAGACAGCAACCUCAGUAAAUAUUGAUUUCAUGUAAGUUUUGUUUAAUGAUGCAGAGGCACGUUUGUUUCGUCAGGAAAUGGGUUGUCAGUGUCUCUGACUUGUUUCGUGUCACUGUUUGGUUAGACACUUAGACUUGGACAUAACAAUUCAGAAGAACUAUAAGAUCAAAUGAUCCAGAAAAGGAAUUACCUCUGUCUAAGAAUGAUGGGCCACAUUUCCUUCUGGACAUGUUCUUGUUGAGCUUUCUGCAUAUCAUCCCUCCUGUUCUAGGCAGUCAAAACUUCAAAAUAUAAAACUGUAAGAAAAUCCCUAACUUGUCAUUACCAGUUCACUGAUCAUCAUCUAGUCAAUACUCAGUAAUAAUUAGUUGCAUUGGAUAUCACUAAUCAAGGAGACCAUCAAAUAAAGGAAGAUUUUCGAUCAAGCAAGUUGCUCAACAAUGAUUUGUGAUGGGAAUGAAGUCAUCAACAACUGUCAGACUAGAUAUCUCCAUCUCAGGGGCCACUCUAUAUAGGACUUCUUUUAAGGGACCACUACAUAUUGUACUUCUUAUCAUUAUGAUAUUACCAAGCACCCAAAAAUAAUAAUUAGUUGGUAUCUCAUUGCACAAUCACAAACAGAUCAUGACACAAUCUACACAUGGUCCCCACAUUCCGUUAUAUGCUUCUUAGGUUGCCACUAAAACAGGUGAGUAUGGCAGCAUACUGUAUUGUCCAAGCAUGCCCAAAAGCAUCGUCCCCAACAAGUGGCAAACAGAUGGCCCCAGAGAAUCUAAUCAAGAUCACACUACUUGCCCUUGCACUUACAGCAUUGCAUGCUCUGAGCUCAUGGCUUCCCAACUUGUCAUGAUAGCUGGACCUAAACUGCAUUGUUCUCUUUCCUUUAUCCCUCACCUAUAAAUUCAUCAGCUUAGCACCACCAUCACUUGAGUUCAUCCAGAAAGUACAAGCUAAAGCAGCACCACUACACCUAGCCAAGAAAGGAGGAGCAAAACAAAACAUGG
rnacentral:lncRNA from 1 species